GACAGAGGUGCCAAGCGUUAGGCGGAAUCACUGGGCUUAAAGCGUGUGUAGGCGGACUUCUAAGUACCUUGUGAAAUCCCCCGGCUCAACCGGGGAACGGCUGGGUAUACUGGGAGUCUUGAGCCAGCUAGGGGUCGCCGGAACAAGUGGUGGAGCGGUGAAAUGCGUAGAUAUCACUUGGAACGCCAAUGGUGAAAACAGGCGACUGGGGCUGUGCUGACGCUGAGACACGAAAGCGUGGGUAGCAAACAGG
rnacentral:rRNA from 1 species